rnacentral:sRNA from 1 species
UCUUCUUCCUCUUCUCUC